CGUCUUCGCUUGUGAAUGCGCACGCGUUUCGUUACGAAGGAUUGUUGCUUGUGAAUGUGGUUUUCCACGUGCUUUCGCUUGCAUUGUUCUGUGAGAACGUCUGUGCUGUAAGUGUCGCCUGCAGUGUGCUUCUGCGUGUAUAUGUUGUGCAUCCCGGUAGUUGGAUUGAAUUUGCAUCUCUGUUUUGCGUGCGUCCCAAAAGUGUUUCUAAUGUUUCCACGUGUCGUAUGAUCGUUGCUAAUUAUCUGUUGCUCUUUCGCUCUGUUUCUGUCGCCUGCUCACUCUGUGUUUUGAUCUUUAUGUUGCACUUUUGUGUGUCUGUGUUUCGUGUUGACGUUUCCAUUGUCGAUCCUUUCAUUGAUUUGAAGCGGCGAUCGUUGAUCAUCUAGCAACCAACAAUCUAUCAUUCAGCAACGCCAGAACUAACCGCCCGGAUGGCGAAAUGGCGAAUUUCCCCGGCCCGGGCUGAUGAUGAUCGCGACAUUCCCGCACUUUUGUGAAGUGGAAAACAUCUUAAUCCUUGCGCCCCAGAUCAACGGCACAGCAGCAUCCACGACCGCAGAUCGCAUCGAAAACGAUGAUCGCGUAGCGCGCACAGAGCUUGGUACAUCGAGCAGAACAAGACACCAUUGGAACCGUUCCCGGUGCUGCGGUGUGUGCCUUAUCUUAUCUCCGCCGGUGACCGAUUCGAGGCCGAUGUACCGCCGCCUCAGCCGCCACCGCCUCGCGAUGUAGUUUGCCUAAGCCGUCAACCGGGAACAAACAAGAAAACAUCGUUGUGUCGCCGUAUUCCGUGUGUUUGUGGGGUAGUUCAAUGAGACACACGAACACACCAACUGGUGGAAGGUGGUGUACACCAUCAUCAUCAUUAUCAGCGACAGAGCACUAUCUGCCCGGUACCGACGGCGAUGAUGAUCGCGAGUACCAUCCGCCACCGCGGUGCAACAACGGCAAGAGGAAACCCGGACCCAGGCCAUGUCGCGCUCGUUUGGCCCUCUCCGGCCGCUUCUCCUCUUCCACCUCCACACCACACCACGUGUUGUUGGGCUUGUUCAACCACUUCGUUUACACAAUCUGUAUUUGAACGCGCAGCCCCCCGUGAGGAGGAAUCGCUGACGAAAUGAAAUGUGGCACCGAAAUGGCGCGAUGGCCAGAGUCGAGCACCGUCGCGGAAGGCGCGGGGCCACAAAAUUUCAUUUUUGCGCCACCGCAGCACCUUGGAAUGACGUCGGAUGUGGGUUGCAUUUUGAGUGCUCCACGCCUUCGCGGAUCGGUGGAACACACUGAAAACGAUACGUAAGCAAAAUGCUUCCUGCAAAUUCUCCUCCACGGGAGUAAGAAGGUUGGCAAUCUGGCAGUCAUCGCGUUGCGUCACUAACGUUCUAGGGGCGUCGAUUGAUAAGUACUUGAUUGUGCUGCUUCCGGCGCUGCUGUUAGUGCUGGUAGUGUUCUUGGUGUUGGCUAGAAGUAAGAUGUGAUGCCUCCCCCCAAAACCGUGUCACGAGCGCAAUUGGAAUGAAUGAAUAAAAAGGGAAAAUUAUUUUCCACCGAGAACGUCGAACACUCCUCGUCA